GGAGAGUCUCUUUCAUUUUUUUUUCUUAAAAAGUGGGAGUAAUGAUCUUAAUUGAUGUUAUCAAAAAAGAAAAGUAGAGAAAUAAAAUCGAGCAAUAAGCAAAAUUGUCUAAAAUAGAGCAAUAAGCAAAAUUGUCAAAGCAAAUUUGUCAAAAGAAAAUAAUCUUAUAAAAUUGAGCAAUAAACAAAUGUGUCCAAAAAAAUAAUCUUAUAAGCAAUUUUCAAACUAAUCUUCAAACUACUCAUGAUGCAU
rnacentral:lncRNA from 1 species